UUCACAAACUAUUGACACAAACACACGCGAACCAAAUCGUCCACACAGGUGCCGAUGAAAGAGAGAAUCUGUUUGUCGCCUUUUGGGGUAUACAAGCACUCUUUUCCAUCGCCUCUGUGCAGGGCGUAACUUCCCAUUGAGAGGAUGUGAGGGCACCACAGGAAGCUUUUCCACAGGAAGUCGCCAUCCUUCUCCCUCCACGACGGCGGCGCUUCACAGGCUUGGCAGUUUUUUUUUUUUUUUAUUGCCUUCCAGGGAGGAUGCCGCCAAUGGAGCCACAUAGACAUUUACAUCAUCAUAUGCCCGUUUUUCUUUCUUAACCGCUUGCCACAGUUACUCCUGUGAGG
rnacentral:misc_RNA from 1 species